UACGUAGGGUGCGAGCGUUAAUCGGAAUUACUGGGCGUAAAGCGUGCGCAGGCGGUUCGUUGUGUCGGCGGUGAAAGCCCCGGGCUUAACUUGGGAAUUGCGCUCGAAACUACGUGGCUGGAGUUCGGCAGGGGAGACUGGGAAUUCCUGGUGUAGCGGUGAAAUGCGCAGGAUAUCAGGAGGAACACCGGUGGCGAAGGCGGGUCUC
rnacentral:rRNA from 1 species